CUUCACGGCCAUACCACCUUAGGCACGCCCGAUCUCGUCUGAUCUCGGAAGCUAAGCAGGGUCGGGCCUGGUUAGUACUUGGAUGGGUGACCGCCUGGGAAUACCAGGUGCUGUAAGCA
ensembl:rRNA 5S_rRNA 5S ribosomal RNA